rnacentral:rRNA from 1 species
AUUGAACGCUGGCGGCAGGCCUAACACAUGCAAGUCGAGCGGCAGCGGGAAAGUAGCUUGCUACUUUUGCCGGCGAGCGGCGGACGGGUGAGUAAUGCCUGGGAAAUUGCCCAGUCGAGGGGGAUAACAGUUGGAAACGACUGCUAAUACCGCAUACGCCCUACGGGGGAAAGCAGGGGACCUUCGGGCCUUGCGCGAUUGGAUAUGCCCAGGUGGGAUUAGCUAGUUGGUGAGGUAAUGGCUCACCAAGGCGACGAUCCCUAGCUGGUCUGGGAGGAGGAUCAGCCACACGGGAACUGAGAAACGGUCCAGACUCCUACGGGAGGCAGCAGUGGGGAAUAUUGCACAAUGGGGGAAACCCUGAUGCAGCCAUGCCGCGUGUGUGAAGAAGGCCUUCGGGUUGUAAAGCACUUUCAGCGAGGAGGAAAGGUUGGUAGCUAAUAACUGCCAGCUGUGACGUUACUCGCAGAAGAAGCACCGGCUAACUCCGUGCCAGCCGCCGCAGUAAUAC